GACGUGAUUCAGAGUUUUGAUCCUGGCUCAGGAUGAACGCUAGCGGCAGGCUUAACACAUGCAAGUCAGGGGCAGCAUGAUGUAGCAAUACAUUGAUGGCGACCGGCGCAAGGGUGCGUAACGCGUGAGUAACAUGCCCGUAUCAGGGGAUAACCCGAAGAAAUUCGGACUAAUACCCCAUAGUAAUUUGUGGAGGCAUCUCUAUGAAUUUUAAAGCUCCGGCGGAUACGGAUUGACUCGCGUGACAUUAGCUAGAUGGUAAGGUAACGGCUUACCAUGGCAACGAUGUCUAGGGGAACUGAGAGGUCGGUCCCCCACACUGGAACUGAGACACGGUCCAG
rnacentral:rRNA from 1 species